AUAAGUGGUUGCACAUUUGAAUUCAAAUCAAAUUUGAAUUCAAAUGCAAAAUCAACUCAUCCCUAUCCACUAGGGUGUGAGAAGAGAAGGGGUGUGAGUUGAUUUGUGCAUGGAGAGUUUACACGAGAAACACUUUCUCAUGUAAAAUAUGGGGCGCACAAGAUAAGAGCAUGGCGCAUGGAUUAGUUGGUUGCUCAUUCAAAUUCAAACU
rnacentral:lncRNA from 1 species